UACGUAGGCAGCGAGCGUUGUUCGGAGUUACUGGGCGUAAAGGGUGCGUAGGCGGUUUUCCAAGUCUGGUGUGAAAUCUCCCGGCUCAACUGGGAGGGUGCGCUAGAAACUGGGAGGCUGGAGUGCGGGAGAGGUAGGCGGAAUUCCUGGUGUAGCGGUGAAAUGCGUAGAUAUCUGGAGGAACACCGGUGGCGAAGGCGGCAUCCUGGACCAACACUGACGCUGAUGAGCGAAAGCCAGGGGAGCAAACGGG
rnacentral:rRNA from 1 species